UGGGGAAUUUUGGACAAUGGGCGAAAGCCUGAUCCAGCAAUGCCGCGUGUGUGAAGAAGGCCUUCGGGCUGUAAAGCACUUUUGUCCGGAAAGAAAUCCUUGGCUCUAAUACAGUCGGGGGAUGACGGUACCGGAAGAAUAAGCACCGGCUAACUACGUGCCAGCAGCCGCGGUAAUACGUAGGGUGCAAGCGUUAAUCGGAAUUACUGGGCGUAAAGCGUGCGCAGGCGGUUUGCUAAGACCGAUGUGAAAUCCCCGGGCUCAACCUGGGAACUGCAUUGGUGACUGGCAGGCUAGAGUAUGGCAGAGGGGGGUAGAAUUCCACGUGUAGCAGUGAAAUGCGUAGAGAUGUGGAGGAAUACCGAUGGCGAAGGCAGCCCCCUGGGCCAAUACUGACGCUCAUGCACGAAAGCGUGGGGAGCAAACAGGAUUAGAUACCCUGGUAGUCCACGCCCUAAAACGAUGUCAACUAGUUGUUGGGGGAUUCAUUUCCUUAGUAACGUAGCUAACGCGUGAAGUUGACCGCCUGGGGAGUACGGUCGCAAGAUUAAAACUCAAAGGAAUUGACGGGGUCAUAGCUGUUUCCU
rnacentral:rRNA from 1 species